rnacentral:rRNA from 1 species
AUUUCGAUAACGAACGAGACCUUAGCCUGCUAAAUAGGAUCGGGAACCUCGGUUCUCGCAUCACUUCUUAGAGGGACUUUGCGUGUCUAACGCAAGGAAGUUUGAGGCAAUAACAGGUCUGUGAUGCCCUUAGAUGUUCUGGGCUGCACGCGCGCUACACUGAUGCAUGCAACGAGUUUUUGACCUUGGCCGGAAGGUCUAGGUAAUCUUUUGAGUAUGCAUCGUGAUGGGGAUAGAUUAUUGCAAUUAUUAAUCUUCAACGAGGAAUGCCUAGUAGGCGCAAGUCAGCAGCUUGUGCCGAUUACGUCCCUGCCCUUUGUACACACCGCCCGUCGCUGCAACCGAUCGAAGGGUCCUGUGAACUCGAUGGACAGCCCAUCCCCUUCUUGGGGUUGGGCUGGAAGUUGCGUAAAUAGAGCCCUUUAAAGGAUGCAAAAGUCGUAACACGGUUUCCGUAGGUGAACCUGCGGAAGGAUCAUUC